rnacentral:rRNA from 1 species
GACGUAGGGCGCGAGCGUUGUCCGGAUUUAUUGGGCGUAAAGAGCUCGUAGGCGGUUUGUCGCGUCGGCCGUGAAAUCUCCACGCUUAACGUGGAGCGUGCGGACGAUACGGGCAGACUUGAGUUCGGUAGGGGAGACUGGAAUUCCUGGUGUAGCGGUGAAAUGCGCAGAUAUCAGGAGGAACACCGGUGGCGAAGGCGGGUCUCUGGGCCGAUACUGACGCUGAGGAGCGAAAGCGUGGGGAGCGAACAGG